AUUGAACGCUGGCGGCAGGCCUAACACAUGCAAGUCGAACGAGUGGCGGACGGGUGAGUAAUGUCUGGGAAACUGCCCGAUGGAGGGGGAUAACUACUGGAAACGGUAGCUAAUACCGCAUACCAUCGGAUGUGCCCAGAUGGGAUUAGCUAGUAGGUUGGGUAACGGCUCACCUAGGCGAAGAUCCCUAGCUGGUCUGAGAGGAUGACCAGAAACACUGGAAAUGGGACACGGUCCAGACUACGAAGGUAGGCAGCAGGGGGGAAUAUUGCACAAUGGGCGCAAGCAUGAUGCAGCCAUGCAGCGUGUAUGAAGAAGGACUUCGGGUUGUAAAGUACUUUAAGCGAGGAGGCGUUACUCGCAGAAGAAGCACCGGCUAACUCCGCGCCAGCAGCCGCGGUAAUUC
rnacentral:rRNA from 1 species